CUCAGAACCUAUUGGGUUCACAAGCAGAAUGUUGUCCAGGCUGUUCAGUGUAUUUCUGACGGAGAAUCAAACACAUGCAAAGACCAGUCCAAGCCUUCUCUCGGGAUGUACAAAGAGAAGGAAGAAAUAGCCCUGGGAUUCUACAAUUGAGAAUUCUUACCUAAGAAAAGGAGAAUAAUCUUCACAGGUUUAAGUUGGAGCCUGGACUGUGGCAGAGGUUCCUGAAAUCUUCUCGGCAAGCUAGUCUAUUCCUUCAAGAUCACACAGGGAGCUCAAGUCGAUCAGAUCCCUCCUUUUGUUUGCUGGCUCUGCUGUCCCUGUGUCCAUAAUAAUAAGCUUAAUCAGUACCAAAUGGAUCCAGUACCAAGGAGCAAGGAUGUGUCAUGUCCUAGCCUGGGGUUGUUCAGGAUCCAGUCAUAAUUCAUAUAAUCCUUGAAUCCUUAGUUCAGAAAGUUAUUUGAUCCUUGGACAAUGCCCUACAACAGAAUGAAUUUUGGGUCCAAAAUAUUCAUGAUGCAACACCAGCAAGUGAUGAUUGACCUACAGAAAAUGUGCUGACAGAUCAAUAAAAGCCUCAGGCACUGCCUGCUCCUAAGUGAGGCUAUUCCGAUGAAGCACAGUAUAAAGAGAGCAUGGGAUGAGAACAGAGAGCUUCUGUGGGAUCAGUUUGCACUGGAAGCAUCCAUUAAGGAAACAACCUGGUUCUGUGUGGAAGUCAAUAUGAAAAUCUAUGAUGUAUGUUCCAGGGAGGAUCAGGUAUGAUGAAUGAAGCAUCUGGGGUAGGUUUUCCUGUAAUCUAACAAAAAACCAAGUCAAACCAAUUCAACCAUUCUCCAACUUAUCCAGACACUCUUAUGUCACAUCAAGCUGUUCAUAUCUUUGAUCAUUUCCAAAACUUUCUCUGGUGUUAGCCUCAUGGAAGAAACUGGAGGAUUGACAGCCAAAUCCUCCUCAUCAACUGUAUACUACAUUUACUUAGGAGAGAUACAAUGAUCACACAUUGCGCACUUACAUGCCAUUAUGCUAGAGGCAUGCUAUGUGCUAGCAUAAUUUGUAGUGCACAGAAUUGAUUAAAGCCUAGUGAAAUUGCCUAAAGAAUGGUUAUCAUUUUCCAUUUGAUAGGGCUUCUGUCCUCUCAUGUCUUUUCCCCCUACAUUGCAAGAUGGUCCUUUCUGUGUACGAAGAUCCUGGUUCAUAGUGAUAGAGCUUGAGAAGCAGCCUGUCAGUCCUGUUUUAUGUAAGUGUUCUAGAGUUCUUUCCUAUAGCUUAUAUCCUGGAGCUGACUGGAUGAGGAGG
rnacentral:lncRNA from 1 species